rnacentral:rRNA from 1 species
AGGGCACCACCAGGAGUGGAGCCUGCGGCUUAAUUUGACUCAACACGGGGAAACUUACCCGGCCUGGACACUGGAAGGAUUGACAGAUUGAGAGCUCUUUCUUGAUUCAGUGGGUGGUGGUGCAUGGCCGUUCUAAGUUGGUGGAGCGAUUUGUCUGGUUAAUUCCGAUAACGAACGAGACUCUAGCCUAUUAAAUAGGCUCUCGGCUUUUAAACGCCGGGAGGACUUCUUAGGGGGACAGGUGGCGGUUCAGCCGCACGAAAGAGAGCAAUAACAGGUCUGUGAUGCCCUUUGUUGUCCGGGGCCGCACGCGCGCUACACUGAAGAGAUCAGCGUGCUUUACGUUCCUGCUCCGACCGGAGUGGGGAACCCAGUGAACCUUCUUCGUGAUUGGGAUAGAAGAUUGUAAUUAUUCUUCUUGAACGAGGAAUUCCCAGUAAAUGCGAGUCAUAAGCUCGCGUUGAUUACGUCCCUGCCCUUUGUACACACCGCCCGUCGCUACUACCGAUUGAACGAUUU